rnacentral:lncRNA from 1 species
GGCAGGAGCUGUUAGCACUGUUAAAGUGUGUAGAGGCCGAGAUUGCAAACUAUGAGGCCUGUCUCAAGGAGGAGGUGGAGAAAAGGAAGAAGUUCAAGGUGGGUGACCCCUCUACUGCCCGUUCCUCUGUCCUCUCCCAAGGACCAGCUGCUCUGAGAAGGUGAGCUGUGAUGCCCUCACCUGCCUUCUUUUCCACAGAUUGAUGACCAGCGAAGGACCCACAACUAUGAUGAGUUCAUCUGCACCUUCAUAUCCAUGCUGGCUCAGGAAGGAAUGCUGGCCAACCUGGUGGAGCAGAACAUCUCAGUGCGGCGCCGCCAAGGGGUCAGCAUUGGUCGGCUUCACAAGCAGCGGAAGCCUGAUAGGCGGAAACGCUCUCGCCCCUACAAGGCCAAACGCCAGUG